rfam:Bradyrhizobium sp. STM 3843, WGS project CAFK01000000 data, contig: 00123-775
CGCCGUUCCGAGGGGAGCUCCGAGGGGAGCUGAGAUAUCGCAGUAGGUGCGGUGACCCUUUGAACCUGAUCCGGGUCAUGCCGGCGAAGGGACAGGGAUGCAGCAGAACA